GCCUGUAAUUAGUUAAGCCAUUCAAAUUUGAAACAUACAAAAUGAUUUAUUUGAAUUCAGGAACUGCCCCUGUUCCUGACUGAAAUUACUUUAGAAGUAAUUUUUCUCCUGGUGAUAAAAGGCAUGUAAGGCUAUUUUAGGAAAUUGAAAAAUGCAAAAAGGUAUAAAGAAAAAGAAAAGAUAAUCAUUAAUAGUACGUUAGCAAACAAGAUUUGACUAAAGAUAUGACUUUCCUCCCGCUUGUUUUCUUAUGCAUAUAAUUAUAUCAUUGCUUUGUUUUUUAAAUUUUAGUUUGACUCAAUUUUACAGUUUCAGGAUUUUGUUUCUGUUUCACGUUUUAAGCUUUUCUUUUAUAAAUAGUUACUUUCCUAGUCUGAAAUCUAUACAUUGUUUCAGUAAUGAAUUGAGGUGAGAGGAUUGCUUGAGCCCAGAAGGUCAAGGCGGCAGUGAGCCAUAAUCCAGCCACUACACUCUAGCCUGAAUGACAGAGCAAGACUCUGUCUCAAAAAUGAACAAAGAAAGAAAAGAAAGAAAGAGAGAGAGAGAGAGGGAGGGAAGGAGGAAGGAA
rnacentral:lncRNA from 1 species